UCUCUGAUGGUCCAGUGGUUAAGACUUGGCCUUCCGGUGCCAGGGGCGCAGGUUCAAUCCCUGGUCUGAGAA
rnacentral:tRNA from 1 species